rnacentral:rRNA from 1 species
GAUGAACGCUAGCGGCAGGCCUAACACAUGCAAGUCGAGGGGUAGAGUUCUUCGGGACUUGAGACCGGCGCACGGGUGCGUAACGCGUAUGCAAUCUACCUUAUACAGGGGAAUAGCCCAGAGAAAUUUGGAUUAAUGCCCCAUAGUAUUAUUGGAUGGCAUCAUUUGAUAAUUAAAGUUCCAACGGUAUAAGAUGAGCAUGCGUCCCAUUAGUUAGUUGGUAGGGUAACGGCUUACCAAGACAAUGAUGGGUAGGGGUCCUGAGAGGGAGAUCCCCCACACUGGUACUGAGACACGGACCAGACUCCUACGGGAGGCAGCAGUGAGGAAUAUUGGUCAAUGGGCGCAAGCCUGAACCAGCCAUGCCGCGUGCAGGAAGAAGCAUCUAUGGUGUGUAAACUGCUUUUAUACAGGAAGAAACACCUCUACGUGUAGAGACUUGACGGUACUGUAAGAAUAAGGAUCGGCUAACUCCGUGCCAGCAGCCG